CGUAACAAGGUCUCCGUAGGUGAACCUGCGGAGGGAUCAUUACACAAAUAUGAAGGCGGGCUGGAACCUCUCGGGGUUACAGCCUUGCUGAAUUAUUCACCCUUGUCUUUUGCGUACUUCUUGUUUCCUUGGUGGGUUCGCCCACCACUAGGACAAACAUAAACCUUUUGUAAUUGCAAUCAGCGUCAGUAACAAGUUAAUAAUUACAACUUUCAACAACGGAUCUCUUGGUUCUGGCAUCGAUGAAGAACGCAGCGAAAUGCGAUAAGUAGUGUGAAUUGCAGAAUUCAGUGAAUCAUCGAAUCUUUGAACGCACAUUGCGCCCUUUGGUAUUCCAAAGGGCAUGCCUGUUCGAGCGUCAUUUGUACCCUCAAGCUUUGCUUGGUGUUGGGCGUCUUGUCUCUAGCUUUGCUGGAGACUCGCCUUAAAGUAAUUGGCAGCCGGCCUACUGGUUUCGGAGCGCAGCACAAGUCGCACUCUUUAUCAGCAAAGGUCUAGCAUCCAUUAAGCCUUUUUUUUCAACUUUUGACCUCGGAUCAGGUAGGGAUACCCGCUGAACUUAAGCAUAUCA
rnacentral:rRNA from 1 species